UACAGAGGGUGCGAGCGUUGUCCGGAAUCACUGGGCGUAAAGGGCGCGUAGGCGGCGCGGUAAGCGUGCGGUGAAAGCCCGGGGCUCAACCCCGGGUCGGCCGUGCGGACUGCCGGGCUGGAGCACUGUAGAGGCAGGUGGAAUUCCGGGUGUAGCGGUGGAAUGCGUAGAGAUCCGGAAGAACACCGAUAGUGAAGACAGCUAACUAAGCUUUAACUGACGCUGAGGCACGAAAGUGUGGGGAUCAAACAGG
rnacentral:rRNA from 1 species